rnacentral:lncRNA from 1 species
CUGCGUUUGUCCGGAAAUUGACCUCUGUGUGCUGGAGUACAGCUAUAUUGCACUGAUUGUUCUGAAAAACAAGUAUCGGCUGAAAACAGACAACCUACUGGCAGCUGUUACACUAGAACCACCAAAGUCCAGUCUCAUUUUGAUGGAAGAAAGAAAGUUUUUCCCUUCUAACACGCCAAUAGUUAAUGGUGUUGGGCAUUUUGUCUCAGCAAUGAGAGAAAGCAACUAAGACAAAGAGUGUCCAAACCCAAAGGUCAAGGCAUGCCUUCAAU